rnacentral:rRNA from 1 species
AUGGCCUAGGGACGCAGCAGUCGGGAAUAUUGCGCAAUGGAGGAAACUCUGACGCAGUGACGCCGCGUAUAGGAAGAAGGUUUUCGGAUUGUAAACUAUUGUCGUUAGGGAAGAUAAAAGACUGUACCUAAGGAGGAAGCCCCGGCUAACUAUGUGCCAGCAGCCGCGGUAAUACAUAGGGGGCAAGCGUUAUCCGGAAUUAUUGGGUGUAAAGGGUGCGUAGACGGAAGAACAAGUUGGUUGUGAAAUCCAUCGGCUCAACUGAGGAACUGCAACCAAAACUAUUCUCAUUGAGUGUCGGAGAG